rnacentral:rRNA from 1 species
AACGAACGCUGGCGGCAGGCUUAACACAUGCAAGUCGAACGGCUCCUUCGGGAUUAGUGGCAGACGGGUGAGUAACGCGUGGGAACGUACCCUUUGCUACGGAAUAACUCAGGGAAACUUGAGCUAAUACCGUAUGUGCCCUACGGGGGCAAGAUUUAUCGGCAAAGGAUCGGCCCGCGUUGGAUUAGCUAGUUGGUGGGGUAAUGGCCUACCAAGGCGACGAUCCAUAGCUGGUCUGAGAGGAUGAUCAGCCACACUGGGACUGAGACACGGCCCAGACUCCUACGGGAGGCAGCAGUGGGGAAUAUUGGACAAUGGGCGCAAGCCUGAUCCAGCCAUGCCGCGUGAGUGAUGAAGGUCUUAGGAUUGUAAAGCUCUUUCACCGGUGAAGAUAAUGACGGUAGCCGGAGAAGAAGCCCCGGCUAACUUCGUG